rnacentral:misc_RNA from 1 species
CUUCCACAACAAUGUUGAUGCAAUUCUUAUUACCUUAGGCGUGAUGUCAACUGUAACUUGAGAACUGAUAACUGAUGAUAAUAGGACACUAAGAUCAAAACUAGCUAAAAUAAUGAAAUUGAUGCUAAAAGAGCACCAGAAUCAAAACAAACUAAAUUUAGGUAAAAAAGUCAAAAUCACACCAUAAUCCAAAAGAAUAUUUGCAUACAAAUGCCCCCCCCAAACCUUGACUUUCUAGUGUUAUCAUGAUACCUUGUCAUACUUAAUUGUCCACAUAAGAUCCUAUUUGUUAUAGAUUUUAAAUAUUCUAAGUAAUUGUUCAUGUUAGUUGUCAUUCGUAUUCUUGGUUUUUGAUAUUUGGCCCCCAUGUGGGAAUAAUAAUAAUUAAUAGUGAUGCUGCUACGAGCCUCUAAAAA